rnacentral:rRNA from 1 species
GAUGAACGCUGGCGGCGUGCCUAAUACAUGCAAGUCGAGCGAACAGACGAGGAGCUUGCUCCUCUGACGUUAGCGGCGGACGGGUGAGUAACACGUGGAUAACCUACCUAUAAGACUGGGAUAACUUCGGGAAACCGGAGCUAAUACCGGAUAACAUGUUGAACCGCAUGGUUCAACAGUGAAAGACGGUCUUGCUGUCACUUAUAGAUGGAUCCGCGCCGCAUUAGCUAGUUGGUAAGGUAACGGCUUACCAAGGCAACGAUGCGUAGCCGACCUGAGAGGGUGAUCGGCCACACUGGAACUGAGACACGGUCCAGACUCCUACGGGAGGCAGCAGUAGGGAAUCUUACGCAAUGGGCGAAAGCCUGACAGAGCAACGCCGCGUGAGUGAAGAAGGUCUUCGGAGCGUAAAACUCUGUUAUUAGGGAAGAACAAAUGUGUAAGUAACUAUGCACGUCUUGACGGUACCGAAUCAGAAAGCCACGGCUAACUACGUG